CACAGCUGCUCUUCUUCCACUGCUUGUUGGCGAGUUGCUGACGUACGCCAGUUACUCUGCUGUGUUUACAUUCGUGGCUCAGUGGAUCUGUAACAGAGAGACUAUCUGAGAGAUUAUGUAAACAGAGAUGCUAUCAACACGGACAUUACAAAAGAAAGCUUAUCAAAUUUGCGCCGUGUAGCGUCCGUGAAGCCUGUGCUUGGCGAACCCCGUCACAUGACUUGUUGGGUUUGACGCCGUAGCGGAUGACGUGUGGAGACGAGAUCUGUGGAUUACUGUGGAUUAAAACGUUGUACACUUGUAUAAGUUAUCACUCAAAUACCCUAUACACUAAAAGAGCAGGCAUCCCCCCCCCCCCAAUAAAACGAGAUAUGUGAGCCAACCUCCUUCCUGGAAGCCACGCCCCCUUCCUUCUAUCUGAAGUCUCUGGUAUACUUCGUAACGCAUAACCUUUCAAAGUAUACUCAAUUUGACAUGUAAUUCGACAACUUGCACUACCCCUCCUGGCCUACAGGAGUCAGUACAGAACAGUAAAGCAGGUCUUCUGGUGUGACGGACGAUAACGAAGAAGAAUCACAACAACACGAAGAACAAUGCUCGGGCAAUCUCUCACCACGAUUUGCUCCCGUAUACAAAUCCUUACACACUUCAAGGGUAGAAUUCUACAAAUGCGGGUACUUUCUAACCUGCACUCGUUCCCGUCUCUUCCAUUUAUUCCGUUUUUUCCUUCGGCUACCUUGAGAAUCAACGGCCCUGGGUCACUCUCGCCACCUUGUGGAACAGCUGAAUAGUGCAAGUAAAUUAAAUGCACACGUGCGACCUGCGUGUACAAAGUACAUGGUUAGAAACCUCGACGUGUACUGAAAUUUGCGUCACGCGUGCUGUACGCUGUUCAUUGCGUUCGUGUAAAAUGUGAAACACACAUUCCGCUUCACAAUCUCUCCACUCACGCAGACUCCCUCGCUUUCUGUCGAGGUAAAUGGACAAAGUUUUAAACUCCUUGAUGAAAACUAAAACCUAUCAGUGUAUGUUAAACUUGGCUAACACGAGACAUUAUAUAUUUCACAUUAGUGAAGUAUAUUUAUUAGAAGAGAGAAAUUUUGUGACUCAAAACGGUUUUUCCAGUUUUUAAAAAAAAUAAUCUGCCAUCUAAUCGAUUAUGGAAAUAGUCGUUAGUUGCAGCCCUUAAUCCUAGCCUAUUUAACAGUGGGAUUCUAGUUUUCUUUCCAUUAAAAAGAAAACCACACGUCUGUAAUGUACGUGUAGUUACUAUAGACAAGAAGUUUGUGUGUAGUAAAUUAACAGGAAGCUCAAUCGUUCAAAACUCAGACGAUGUGUUUCUGAUCGACGUGUAAGAAGUGCGUCAGACGUGGCGGUCACGCUCCGAUAUCAACAAGCCUUUCAGUUCACUUGAACAGAAGCAUACGGUCCAUAGAAAUCCACUGAAUUCACAAAAUCAUCAUAAAAAUCCUAAUAUACAGUCGUGGGCUGUUCGUACUGUGUGUUUCAGAUUGAAUGAAUGCUCACCAUUCUCUCUCUCACUCUCUCUCUACCCAUUCUCUUUCUUUUUCUUUCUCUUCUUUCUCAAAGUCUUUCUCUUUCCCACAAAUUCCAAAACAAGGAAAUUCACAAGCCACUUCUGUUUCAAUAAUCCAAGCCUCGACUUUGUCUUUUGUCUCUGUGUCAGAGAUAUCACCUUACCAAAUUUUUGCUCUGUGAAUCAAGAGUAAAAAAAAUAAAAAAUAAAAAAAUACAAUGGUAGCAAUUGUCAUAGUAAAGGUAAUUAGCAACAAGAGCUAGGCUAAUUAUACGGCAAUUACAAAAGGCCGGAGCGACCGCUAUUCUCUUAUUAGCGGUGUCAGAUUUUCCUGUUAAAAUAUCCGGAGACGCAUUGUGCUGCGGUAAUGCUGGAGUAAUAACACACGUUCUGUUUCGUGAGCACAGUGUUAUCAGCGAUCAGCUGUUAUUUAUAGCAUGAGGAGAGAAUAGAAACGGUGACAGCUGGAAAUUGAGUUGUUUCCCCGACUCUGUGGCAGGAUCUGUGCUGGUGGACAAAAAGAGUCACGCAGAGGGAGUCACCAUUUCGUACAGAAGGGUUUUAAGGAAGCAUAACAAACAAGGACGGUUUGGUCUCUUUUAAAAAUGUGCACGCCAGUGAUUUCAUUCAGAACAAUGUGUCGAUGGACAACGCAUGCCGAUGUGGAAAAAUGACACCGUUGUCCUGUUUAAAAAGUUCAUCCGGGUUAAGAUUUUGGUGGAAUGCAUGGUGGAUCAUGUGUCAGCCAAUAGAAGAUACUCUGGGCAAAGCAUCCAUGCUGAUGUUGAGAAAACGGAUAGAGAAACUAUUUGCACCCAUGUUUAAAAAUCUAUAAUUAAAUCCAGUGUUCAAAAUCUAUAAUUAAAUCCAGUGUUAAAAAUCUAUAAUUAAAUCCUGUAAAAAAUCUAUAAUUAAAUCCAGUGUUAAAAAUCUAUAAUUAAAUCCAGUAAAAAAAAAAUAAUUAAAUCCAGUGUUAAAAAUCUAUAAUUAAAUCCUGUAAAAAAAUCUAUAAUUAAAUCCAGUGUUAAAAAUCUAUAUUAAAUCCUAUUGUUAAAAAUCUAUAAUUAAAUCCAGUGAUGAAAAUCUAUAAUUAAAUCCAGUGUUAAAAAUCUAUAAUUAGCAGUGAGAAAAAAGAGACUCUUAGAUGUGUUUUGAUUCUGUCUUUAAAUGAUUCUUUACAGAUGUCCAUAAUGUGAUUUUUUUUUUUUUUUUUUUUAAAUAAAUAUUUUCAGUGAAAUGCCACAAAGCAGUUCAAAUACAAUGGAAAACAAGGGUAAUAAAUACAUAAAUACAUAAAUACUAUGGCCAAAAUUCAGAAUUAAAUUAGUGAUGCAGGAAUACCCGAGGACACCACAUCCUUUCCAAGUUUUGGAAAUUCUAACUCUUCGUUCAACCCCUACUGUUGUCACUUAUGGGCAUGCACUUUCCUGUAUUAUUAUUAUUUAUUUGUUUGUUUGUUUGUUUGCUUGUUUAUUAAUUUUUCCAACGAGAAAGCAUAGCCUCAAGCCCACGGUACGAUUUAU
ensembl:lncRNA